UACGUAGGGUGCAAGCGUUAAUCGGAAUUACUGGGCGUAAAGCGUGCGCAGGCGGUUAUGUAAGACAGAUGUGAAAUCCCCGGGCUUAACCUGGGAACUGCAUUUGUGACUGCACGGCUAGAGUGUGUCAGAGGGGGGUAGAAUUCCACGUGUAGCAGUGAAAUGCGUAGAUAUGUGGAGGAAUACCGAUGGCGAAGGCAGCCCCCUGGGAUAACACUGACGCUCAUGCACGAAAGCGUGGGGAGCAAACAGG
rnacentral:rRNA from 1 species